rnacentral:tRNA from 1 species
AGGUUAUAUUGGAUGAAAAAGGUUUUGAAAACCUUAUGUGAGUGUUCGAUUCACUCGUAAUCUU